AGAGAGAGACAUGCGCGCAUAUCAAUAAGCGGAGGAAAAGAAACUAACUAGGAUUCCCUCAGUAACGGCGAGUGAAGCGGGAAGAGCUCAAAUUUGAAAUCUUAAAGGGUUCUACCUUGACGAAUUGUAGUUUAAAGAAGUGUUUUCUGUUGGAGUUUUGGUAAAAGUUCUUUGGAAUAGGACAUCAUAGAGGGUGAGAAUCCCGUAUUUGACCAUUAUUUCCAGCUUUGUGAUACACUUUCAAAGAGUCGGAUUGUUUGGGAAUGCAGUCCAAAAUGGGUGGUAAAUUUCAUCUAAAGCUAAAUAUUGGCGAGAGACCGAUAGCGAACAAGUACCGUGAGGGAAAGAUGAAAAGAACUUUGAAAAGAGAGUUAAACAGUACGUGAAAUUGUCAAAAGGGAAGCGUUUGACACCAGUGUUGUUUUCUCGAAAAUCAAUUAAAAAAGGCAGGAUUUUGUGUUGUAUUGACUUUAUCAGCUUUCUGCACUCUUUUCUUGUCUUUUUUAAUGCACUUUUCGUUUAACAAGUCAACAUCAAUUUCUUUUGUUGUAAAAGGGUCAUUGGAAGGUGGCUUUCUUUUCGGAGAAAGUGUUUAUAGCCUUUGACUCCUGCAAUCGGAGAGACUGAGGUCUGCAGCGUAGAUCCUUCGGGGUUAGAUACAUUUGUGCUAAGUUAUAGUCUUUCAUAGACAACUUGUUGACUAUGAUCAGUCAUGUAGCUUACUCGCUUAUGCUAUUUUACCUACGCUUAGGAUGUUGAUGUGAUACUGCGAGCA
rnacentral:rRNA from 1 species